rnacentral:rRNA from 1 species
AGCCCAGACUCCUACGGGAGGCAGCAGUGGGGGAUAUUGCACAAUGGGGGAAACCCUGAUGCAGCGACGCCGCGUGAGUGAAGAAGUAUUUCGGUAUGUAAAGCUCUAUCAGCAGGGACGAAAAUGACGGUACCUGAGUAAGAAGCCCCGGCUAACUACGUGCCAGCAGCCGCGGUAAUACGUAGGGGGCAAGCGUUAUCCGGAAUUACUGGGUGUAAAGGGAGCGUAGACGGCAAUGCAAGCCUGGAGUGAAAGCCCGCGGCCUAACCGCGGGACUGCUUUGGAAACUGUGAAACUGGAGUGCAGGAGAGGUAAGUGGAAUUCCUAGUGUAGCGGUGAAAUGCGUAGAUAUUAGGAGGAACACCAGUGGCGAAGGCGGCUUACUGGACUGUAACUGACGUUGAGGCUCGAAAGCGUGGGGAGCAAACAGGAUUAGAUACCCUCGUA